CUGGUUUUAUAACAUCUUUGUUUUAGUUUUCAGCAGGUGCGUGCUCCCUGGUGAACUGCAAAUCGAAUACUCGCUGUGUGGAGAGACGUCGUGGUGGCGCAGUCUGUGUUGAGGGUCACACUGUAAGCAGCACCCUGGAAUCGGGAUGCUUAACGAACUCUGAUUGUCCAGCAGCCAGGAACUUCGUGUGCUUCACCCAGACCUGCAAGUGUGUACCAGGGUACAGCUUCAACCCUGACAACAACAGUUGUGUAAGACGUUGCAAAAAGUAUGGCAAUGGAUUUACCACAUACCAAGGCAUAUGUAUACACGACAACAAUGACAGAACAGAAAGAAAUAAAACUGCAAAGGAAUGUUCUGAAAUGUGCAGCAGUGAGAAAGCAUUUACAUGUCUUACCUACGAUCGCUCUCAUGAAUUUGGUGGCGAUGUCUGUCACCUUUCAAAAUCUGGGUACCUAGAUGUUUCUUGGUUCAUGAGAGAGAAGGGAGAAGAAGGCUGGAUGCUUGCGGUGAGAAACUGUGCGUAACAGCAGAGGCGUCAACAUUGUUGCUAUCAUAUGAACAUGUUCCUCCUUUUACUCUUUAUGAUUCAUUGACCCGUGAAGAUCCGGGAUAGAAUAGGUGUUCAGCAACCCAUGCUUGCCGUAAAUGGCAACUAUGCUUAUCGUCUGCAUGAUGGCAUGUCCAAGGUGGGGAUUCUGGGUGAAAAUUGAUGCUAAGCCACAUAUGCUGGUCGUAUCAGCUGACCGAUGGUUCAUCGAUAAGAUUGAAGAUCAAACCAUGUGAUGUUUCAUGUAGGAAUUGGAAAACACAUAUUGUAAUAUUGUAUGCCAUAUUUUCUUUAUGUCUUGUUGUUUGAUUGUGAAAACGUCAUUAACAAUAACAGGAUGCCUUAACUUCAUUCAUGACUCAUUUACUAAUCCAUGAUAAUGUGGAAGCAAUCCAAUGAUAAAUACAUAAUGUCCAGAAUACUCUUGUGAUAAAUGUGAAAUGUCCUUUCUCUGUUAAUUCCUUUGUAACUCAAAGUACUCUCUCACGAGCAUUGUAUACCUAAUGCAACUCCUCAUUGCAGUUUUGAACGGUUGAAUUUGCUACAAUUAACCUUAUAACAAUAGUAUCUAUUUGCAAAUAUACUACCAGAUUUACAUAACUAUCAAAGUUUACUGUUUUAUCUGUGGACUGUAAUUUUUAUGUUGCAUAUCUUGAUCAUUUUUGAUUUAUAGAUACUAUAUCAGUGACAUUGAGUCGCAUAAGCUUCAGUUUGGAAAAUGUGCAUGUACAGUUUGAAUAGUUUUUAUGUAUGUGGAACACGAAUAUCAGUUGCUCAUAGUGUGCACCAGACCUAGGUCUCCACAAUAAGUUUACUAUUUUCUCCAGAUAUGUUUACUAUUGUAAAUUAUAAAUUAACAAUAUCCCAAAUUAGAGAAUUGGAUUGUAAGUAACACGACACAAAGUAAAUGUCACUGACACUGGAAUAGUUUUGUCUGUUUUUACCCAAAGAUAUACUUUGUAACUUGUAUACAUUCAAGAUUGUAUGUGAACUAUAUACUGUAAACGCAUUGAUUGUGUACUCCAAAAAGAAAUAAAUUAAAAAAAACACACUAAAUGUCACGUCGUCAUUCUAUCCGUUGCAGUGAGUGAAUUUAGCUUCUAGCAAUAUUCCUGCAAUAUGAAUG
rnacentral:lncRNA from 1 species